rfam:Flavonifractor plautii ATCC 29863 genomic scaffold Scfld123, whole genome shotgun sequence.
GAGAGCCGUAUACAUCGAGAGGUGUAAGUACGGUUCGGGGGCGAGCUAUGGAAAACCCGCCGCCGCGAGGCGGUAAGGCGUCUAUAGUUUAGCCCAC